AUUGAACGCUGGCGGUAGGCCUAACACAUGCAAGUCGAGCGAGCGGCGGACGGGUGAGUAAUGUCUGGGAAACUGCCUGAUGGAGGGGGAUAACUACUGGAAACGGUAGCUAAUACCGCAUACCAUCAGAUGUGCCCAGAUGGGAUUAGCUAGUAGGUGUGGUAAUGGCUCACCUAGGCGACGCUCCCUCGCUGGUCUGAGAGGAUGACCAGCCACACUGGAACUGAGAAACGGUCCAGACUCCUACGGGAGGCAGCAGUGGGGAAUAGUGCACAAUGGGGGCAAGCCUGAUGCAGCCAUGCCGCGUGUGUGAAGAAGGCCUUCGGGUUGUAAAGCACUUUCAGCGGGGAGGCGGGAACCGAAGAAGAAGCACCGGCUAACUCCGUGCCAGCAGCCGCGGUAAGAG
rnacentral:rRNA from 1 species